rnacentral:rRNA from 1 species
CUUGCCUGCUAUCUCUUACCCAUGUCUUUUGAGUACCUUACGUUUCCUCGGCGGGUCCGCCCGCCGAUUGGACAAUUUAAACCAUUUGCAGUUGCAAUCAGCGUCUGAAAAAACUUAAUAGUUACAACUUUCAACAACGGAUCUCUUGGUUCUGGCAUCGAUGAAGAACGCAGCGAAAUGCGAUAAGUAGUGUGAAUUGCAGAAUUCAGUGAAUCAUCGAAUCUUUGAACGCACAUUGCGCCCCUUGGUAUUCCAUGGGGCAUGCCUGUUCGAGCGUCAUUUGUACCUUCAAGCUCUGCUUGGUGUUGGGUGUUUGUCUCGCCUCUGCGUGUAGACUCGCCUCAAAACAAUUGGCAGCCGGCGUAUUGAUUUCGGAGCGCAGUACAUCUCGCGCUUUGCACUCAUAACGACGACGUCCAAAAGUACAUUUUUACACUCUUGACCUCGGAUCAGGUAGGGAUACCCGCUGAACUUAAGCAUAUCAAUAAGCGGAGGAAAAGAAACCAACAGGGAUUGCCCUAGUAACGGCGAGUGAAGCGGCAACAGCUCAAAUUUGAAAUCUGGCGUCUUUGGCGUCCGAGUUGUAAUUUGCAGAGGGCGCUUUGGCAUUGGCAGCGGUCCCAAGUUCCCUGGAACAGGAA